CCUACGGGUGGCAGCAGUAGGGAAUCUUCCACAAUGGGCGAAAGCCUGAUGGAGCAACGCCGCGUGGGUGAAGAAGGUCUUCGGAUCGUAAAACCCUGUUGUCAGAGAAGAAAGUGCGUGAGAGUAACUGUUCACGUUUCGACGGUAUCUAACCAGGAAGCCACGGCUAACUACGUGCCAGCAGCCGCGGUAAUACGGGGGGGGCAAGCGUUAUCCGGAAUUAUUGGGCGUAAAGGGAACGCAGGCGGUCUUUUAAGUCAGAUGUGAAAGCCUUGGGCUUAACGGGAGUAGUGCAUUGGAAACUGGGAGACUGGAGUGAAGAAGAGGAGAGUGGAACUCCAGGUGUAGCGGUGAAAUGCGUAGAUAUGUGGAAGAACACCAGUGGCGAAGGCGGCUCUCUGGUCUGUAACUGACGCUGAGGUUCGAAAGCGUGGGUAGCAAACAGGAUUAGAUACCCUUGUAGUC
rnacentral:rRNA from 1 species